AGUGAACGCUGGCGGUAGGCCUAACACAUGCAAGUCGAACGGCAGCACAGUAAGAGCUUGCUCUUACGGGUGGCGAGUGGCGGACGGGUGAGGAAUACAUCGGAAUCUACUUUUUCGUGGGGGAUAACGUAGGGAAACUUACGCUAAUACCGCAUACGACCUACGGGUGAAAGCAGGGGAUCUUCGGACCUUUCGCGAUUGAAUGAGCCGAUGUCGGAUUAGCUAGUUGGCGGGGUAAAGGCCCACCAUGGCGACGAUCCGUAGCUGGUCUGAGAGGAGGAUCGGCCGCACUGGAACUGAGACACGGUCCAGACUCCUAAGGGAGGCAGCAGUGGGGAAUAUUGGACAAUGGUCGCAAGCCUGAUCCAGCGAUACCGCGUGGGUGAAGAAGGCCUUCGGGUUGUAAAGCCCUUUUGUUGGGAAAGAAAAGCAGCAGGUUAAUACCCCGCUGUUCUGACGGUACCCAAAGAAUAAGCACCGGCUAACUUCGUG
rnacentral:rRNA from 1 species